UGUCCUCAUCCAGAAAACAUUCUGGAGCAGC
rnacentral:piRNA from 1 species